rnacentral:rRNA from 1 species
GAGUUUGAUCAUGGCUCAGAACGAACGCUGGCGGCAUGCCUAAUACAUGCAAGUCGAACGAUCACUUCGGUGGUAGUGGCGCACGGGUGCGUAACGCGUGGGAAUCUGCCCUUGGGUUCGGAAUAACAGUUAGAAAUGACUGCUAAUACCGGAUGAUGACGUAAGUCCAAAGAUUUAUCGCCCAAGGAUGAGCCCGCGUAGGAUUAGCUAGUUGGUGAGGUAAAGGCUCACCAAGGCUACGAUCCUUAGCUGGUCUGAGAGGAUGAUCAGCCACACUGGGACUGAGACACGGCCCAGACUCCUACGGGAGGCAGCAGUAGGGAAUAUUGGACAAUGGGCGAAAGCCUGAUCCAGCAAUGCCGCGUGAGCGAUGAAGGCCUUAGGGUUGUAAAGCUCUUUUACCCGAGAUGAUAAUGACAGUAUCGGGAGAAUAAGCCCCGGCUAACUCCGUGCCAGCCGCCGCCGUAAU